rnacentral:lncRNA from 1 species
AUUUUGGCCCAGCUGAAACAUAUUUCCCAGGUAGUUUUUAUCAGUCUCAGAAGGGGCUACAGGGAAGUUUUCCUGAGGCUUACUGAGCAGUUGAGGUUAGUACCUAAUCUAUAAGGUUUAUUUCUUCACUGAAGUUGUUCCCUGAUAUUAUGAUACAAAAAGAAGGGGCUUGAGUCUGUGUAGUUGUAUUCUGGUGCAUGCUUUUGAAUGUUUAUUAUUUCUCAAAAAAACAAAUGUACACCUGAACCAAAAUGUUAUCAGCAAUUUUCUCUUAAAAGAACACUUAAUUAGUUGUGUGUUCUAGUUUAUUGCUGUUCAAGCAUUCAAGCAUACAUGUGAUGCAGGAUGCUAAUUCUGAUUGUUACUUAAGAAUCCUAUACAGAAAUACAGAUGAAGAUGCCCAGAAGACACUACAUGUAACACUGCCAGCAGGAAAAUCCAGAAAUGGAUCUAGCAGGUCUGCUCCAUGGUUGUCCUGGCUCUCGGCCUUUUUGGUGAUAAGCACCUGGUUGAGCUGUUCCCUGCACAGUCCUUUCUGCACAGACUUGAAAGAAGCAUCAUCAGUGAGGGGUUCUCAAUGUGCUUCAGCAGGUCUUGGAUGUCCAUGGGCUCAGGAUGGCAGGAGAGCCAAUUAUGUUUUGUUUGAUGUUUUAACCAAAAGAACAACCUCACUGCAAUCUUUCAGAGGCUUUUUACCAUUUCUCUUUUAACGAUAUCUUUAACUGUCACUUGUGGAAUCAAAAUAGUGAAGUACUUCUGUGAAUGAAUUAUUCCUUACUGAAAGCAACAUAUAGUACUCCUCAGACAAGGCAAUAAAGUCCUGUUGGGAUGCUGUAAUUCUCUUCUA